AAUGAACGUUGGCGGCGUGGAUUAGGCAUGCAAGUCGAGCGAGAACCGUAGCAAUACGGGGACAGCGGCGAAAGGGAGAGGAACACGUGGACAACCUACCCUCGGGUUCAGGAUAGCUAUGGGAAACUAUAGGUAAUACUGAAUGACAUCUCCGGAUCAAAGGUGAGAUUCCGCCCGGGAGGGUCCGCGUCCUAUUAGCUUGUUAGGUGAGGUAACGGCUCUACCAAGGCUGUGAUUGGGUACGGAUGUGAGAGCAUGAUCCCGCUCAUUGGGACUGAGACACUGCCCAGACACCUACGGGUGGCUG
rnacentral:rRNA from 1 species